AACGAACGCUGGCGGCAUGCCUAACACAUGCAAGUCGAACGAGACCUUCGGGUCUAGUGGCGCACGGGUGCGUAACGCGUGGGAACCUGCCCUUAGGUUCGGAGUAACUCCCCGAAAGGGGUGCUAAUACCGGAUAAUGUCUUCGGACCAAAGAUUUAUCGCCUUUGGAUGGGCCCGCGUUGGAUUAGCUAGUUGGUAGGGUAAAAGCCUACCAAGGCGACGAUCCAUAGCUGGUCUGAGAGGAUGAUCAGCCACACUGGGACUGAGACACGGCCCAGACUCCUACGGGAGGCAGCAGUGGGGAAUAUUGGACAAUGGGCGAAAGCCUGAUCCAGCAAUGCCGCGUGAGCGAUGAAGGCCUUAGGGUUGUAAAGCUCUUUUACCCGGGAUGAUAAUGACAGUACCGGGAGAAUAAGCUCCGGCUAACUCCGUG
rnacentral:rRNA from 1 species